rnacentral:misc_RNA from 1 species
AACUCCCCGCGUUAGGGAUAGUAGCGCAAAGCCCGCAGCCAAGUGAAGUGUAACGCAACUUGACGAGGACUUGUAGCGAAUAGCCCGGCCCUUU